rnacentral:rRNA from 1 species
GUUUAAAGUUUGACGUAGGAAGGGCACACAAGUUGAUGUUUGCAGUUACAGAUUUUUGCCAAAGCCCGCUGAAACGAAGUUUAGUUCAGCAGACCAUAUAUGUUGGAAGAAAGCAAAUUUCUUGCCUUCCGAAUCCUCCGAAGCCAUCAUAUUUUAUUUCAGACCGAUUUGUCCCAGCUCAGUGUAUCUCUGGUAAAAUACGAACAACAUUGUUUUUACUUUUUUU